GACGGAGGAUGCAAGUGUUAUCCGGAAUCACUGGGCGUAAAGCGUCUGUAGGUGGUUCAAUUAAGUCAACUGUUAAAUCUUGAGGCUCAACUUCAAAAAUCGCAGUCGAAACUAUUGGACUCGAGUAUAGUAGGGGUAAAGGGAAUUUCCAGUGGAGCGGUGAAAUGCGUAGAGAUUGGAAAGAACACCGAUGGCGAAGGCACUUUACUGGCUAUUACUAACACUGAGAGACGAAAGCUAGG
rnacentral:rRNA from 1 species